rnacentral:lncRNA from 1 species
GGACAGUCCAGACUCCUUACUGGUAUGAGGAUCCCUCCUCCUCCCAUUUCUCCUUCCAUUGACACCAGGCUCCCUAUUGUUAGGCCAUUUGGAAUUCCUUGGUGUUCCAAGAGUGGAGGAGUCAGUGUCACACUUUAUUUUUUAUUUUUUCCUUGACUUUUUCAUGUAUGGCAAUUUCAUUCUUUUCCCCUAAGAUUAAUUUCAAUUUCAAUUGCUGUUUUCAGAGUGAAAUCUCCUCUGACAUCUCUGCUUCUUCCCCAGUCCCUAACUCCACUGGUGUUGCGCUUCAGUACUCUCCAAGCACCUGGGGCUCCUCUCCACUAGAGCACAUUCCAAUUCUUUCCCAUCCCAGCCCUCUCGCCGCAAGACUGUGUUCCUCCCACCCUAAGACUGUGUCUUCUCCCAAGACUGUCAGCUGCUUAAGGGAGGGUUAGAUCCUGAUCACCUUUGUCCACCCAGCCCUUCCUCCGCAGGUGCUAAGCAGAGGUUUGUGGAAUGAAUGCACAUUUGAUGUGUCUGUUUACAAGCUGCGGUGACCUUGCUGAAGACGAUGCUAAUGGGGGCACCAAAUGAAAUAUUUCUCCUGGAAAGUUCCCUGGGCAAGUUGGGAAGAGAAUCUGCUUUUCCUCCUGGCUAUGCCAAGUGCUGUGUGGCCUCCAGGAAUUCAGAAAGAGAAACUUCCACAUCGUGUUAGGUGCUGGCAGAGAGGAUAAAUGAACACAUCUUCAUUAAUUCGUUUCUGCCUAUUGGGUGCUUCGGGGAUUAACUCCUCAUGAGCUUUUCAGGAAGGAGAUGCCCUCUGUGGGCCAGGGCCUGUGAUGCCUGAGCUCUUGUAUUUACCUUUGCUUUAUUAUUUCCUUUAGAAAGAUUUUGGUAUUAAAUGGCUCUGCAUUGAAAUCUCUCUCCCGCUUUUUUUUUUUUUUUUUUUUUUUUUUUUUUUUUUGAGAUGGAGUUUUGUUCUUGUUGCCGAGGCUGGAGUGCAGUGGUGCAAUCUCGGCUCACUGCAACCUCGGCCUCCCGGGUUCAAGUGAUUCUCCUUCCUCAGCCUCCCGAUUAGCUGGGACUACAGGCACACAUCACCAUGCCUGGCUAAUUUUUGUAUUUUUGGUAGAGAUGGGGUUUCGCCAUGUUGGCCAGUCUGGUCUCAAACUCCUGACCUCAAAUGAUCCACCCACCUCAGCCUGCCAAAGUGCUGGGAUUACAGACAUGAACCACUGCACCCAGCCUGAAAUCUCAUCUUGAUCACUUAUUGGAAGCAUGAUCUUAGUACCUGAUCUAAUGUUUCUGAGUCUUGUGUUUCUCUGGAAACCUCAUUGAACUGUUGUGAAAAAUAAGUUGCUUAUGAAUUCUAGCAUUCAUCUCAUGCAGCAAAAUUUUGGGCCCAUUUAAUGAUUUCAGGAUCAGGAGUCAGAUGGCUUAAACUAUACUCUUAUCCUUCCCUGCCAUUUACCUAACAAUCCCUCUAAGCCUCAACUUUUUCAUAGGUGGUAUGGGAAUAAAAAUAAUACCCAGCCAAUAAGAUUAUGUGGUUAGAUAAAACAAUAUAGCAACUGGGUUUAGAAGAGGAAAAAUGUUAUCUUUUAUUAUUGUACUUUUUUAGAGAUGGGGGUCUCAUUAUGUUGCCCAGGCUGGAUUUGAACUUCUGGGCUUAAGCGAUCCUCCCACCUCAGCAGGUGUCCCCACCUAGCUGGGACUACAAGCAUGCACCACCAUACCUGGCUUAUUUUUUAUGAUUUAGCUCAUUGAGAUGGACAUUUUUAAAUGCAUGUUACGAUCAAAAAUAAGCAUUCAGAGAUUCCAGUGGUUCCUCUUUUCAUUAAGCUGUUUGC